AUACAGGAGCGACUGGGCACCCCAUCAGCGUGACACCCCUUAACCGAUGUUACCCCAACCCUUGCUUCCCUGGGGUCACCUGCACCGAUACGCCCACCGGCUUCCGCUGCGGCGCUUGUCCUCUGGGCUACACUGGCAACGGGACUCACUGCACGGACAUUAAUGAGUGUACAGCAAAUCCCUGCUUCCCUAGAGUCCAGUGUGUCAACACAUCGCCUGGUUUUCGGUGCGAGAGAUGCCCGCCUGGUUAUACCGGGCCAGUACAUGAAGGAGUGGGCUUAGCCUUUGCCAGAGCUAACAAGCAGGUUUGUAAUGACAUCAAUGAAUGCGAAUCGGGAACAGCCAGAGCCUGUGUUCCAAAUUCCAUCUGCAUCAACACCCGGG